rnacentral:lncRNA from 1 species
GACAGUCAUUUUCGUCCACAAUCAAUGAUUCUUGUUUACUGCAUGCAGGAUGAUAAAUCAUCAAAGAAUUGAGAUAAUACGGGCAGUUACUGGUGAAAGGUACAACCAUGCCACAGGUACUGACUCAUCAUAAUUUUUAGUUUAAUCUGAAUCAGCAAUAAUCUUAAUUGUGUGAUGUGCUUUUUCUUUUUUUCUUAAUUAUGAAUUCUAUGCACGCAUCAACUCAUUAACAAAUACAACUGGAAUCCAAACAUCAACAGUUUUGUUUGCCAACAACCAAUUUUUUUGGCUCUAUCGACAUCAGCGUUCAUCCAAACACACCCAUAGGGCAUGUUCGAUUUUCACCCAAAUGGCCAAAUGUAUCAUGCACUAGCCAAGACAAAAUUUGGCACCAGCCAGUCUUUGGUCACCAAAUUGGUGGCCAUGGUCUUGGCCAACUUUGGCCACCAAAAUGAACUAACAUGGCCAAAAGGGAGGGCUUCCAAGGCUUGCCAUCCUUUGGCACACUUUGGUAAACAAAGCAAAUAAACACACCCAUUCAACCGAAAAUACUGUGUCACUCCCUUUCUAUUUGCAAUAGCAUUGAUAGUCCGAACUCGGCUGGCUCCAGUUGACAGGCUGCCCACCAAGGCACCAACCCAAUAGGGUUUAGUAGUACUUUUCUGUCUAAUAAGACAAAGCCUGUCCUCUUCUCUUGGCCAAGGUUUCAUUUUUCCUUUGGAACUUCCAUCUGGUGGUAUUUGAAAAGCAGAUCUUUGACUUGUUUGCAUGAUUCAUCCUUCUUUCACUAAAAUAUGCUGUUUUGAGGUUCUGCCGUGUAAUUUAAUCUAAUUGAAACCAUAUCGAUGAACUGAAUAUGUUCUUCUAUGAUGGUCACUGCUCUAGUUCGUUAACCCCAAUGCUAUGUGUUAAUUGGUUCUGUUUUUCUUUGCCUUUAGCUUUAACCUACGAAAAUGUUGCCCUGGAAGCAAAAAUAACUACCAUGGACAGGUAUGAAGUUAGCCAGUUAUGAAGUUUAAGUGGGCCAGCAUUUGAACUAGCUUAAAUGGGCCGCGGGUGAAAGUUAGCUUAAAUGCGCGUAGCUGGC